CCUACGGGCGGCAGCAGUGAGGAAUAUUGGUCAAUGGGCGAGAGCCUGAACCAGCCAAGUCGCGUGAGGGAGUACUGCCCUAUGGGUUGUAAACCUCUUUUGUCGGGGAGCAAAAGCCGGACGUGUCCGGCUGUGAGAGUACCCGAAGAAAAAGCAUCGGCUAACUCCGUGCCAGCAGCCGCGGUAAUACGGAGGAUGCGAGCUUUGUCCGGAUUUAUUGGGUUUAAAGGGUGCGCAGGCGGAUUUUUAAGUCAGCGGUCAAAUUGCGGGGGUCAACCCCGUACUGCCGUUGAAACUGGGAGGCUUGAGUAUGUUUGAGGCAGGCGGAAUGCGUGGUGUAGCGGUGAAAUGCUUAGAUAUCACGCAGAACCCCGAUUGCGAAGGCAGCCUGCCAAGCCAUGACUGACGCUGAUGCACGAAAGCGUGGGGAUCAAACAGGAUUAGAUACCCCAGUAGUC
rnacentral:rRNA from 1 species